AUGGACAAAAAGCUGCUAGGCAUCCAUCAUGACCUUGAACUCGUCGAAGCAAACAACUCCAUCUCCAUUCAGAUCAAAACUGCGGAUCAUGGCGCGGCACUCCUCGAUGCCCUGCUCGGACCCCAGCCUGGCGAGCAUCCGCAUCAGGCUCGCCGGCGUGAUGCAGCCUUCUCCCUUCACCUCGUACAUCGCGAACGCCUCCCUCAGCCCCCUGCACCGCUCCUCCUCCGCCUCUGUCUCCGGCCGCGCCAGCAGCUUGAGGAACUCCUCCUCAUUCAGCAGCCGGUCGCCGUCGGCAUCUGCCGAUGCCACGAGCGCCUCGGCGUCCUCCACCGAAACGUCCUCGCCCAGCGCCGCCUUCAUGCACUGCCGCAGCUCCGCCGCCGAGAUCUUGCCGUCGGCGUCGCGGUCGAAGGAGGCGAACACGCUGCUGAAGCGCUCGGCUGUCGCGGCGUGCACCAUCUUCGCCUGCUUGAUUCAGUGAUCACCUGA
rnacentral:rRNA from 1 species